rnacentral:rRNA from 1 species
AGCGAACGCUGGCGGCAGGCCUAACACAUGCAAGUCGAACGAAGUCUUCGGACUUAGUGGCGGACGGGUGAGUAACACGCGGGAACGUGCCUUUAGGUUCGGAAUAACUCAGGGAAACUUGUGCUAAUACCGAAUGUGCCCUUCGGGGGAAAGAUUUAUCGCCUUUAGAGCGGCCCGCGUCUGAUUAGCUAGUUGGUGAGGUAAUGGCUCACCAAGGCUACGAUCAGUAGCUGGUCUGAGAGGAUGACCAGCCACAUUGGGACUGAGACACGGCCCAAACUCCUACGGGAGGCAGCAGUGGGGAAUCUUGCGCAAUGGGCGAAAGCCUGACGCAGCCAUGCCGCAUGGAUGAUGAAGGUCUUAGGAUUGUAAAAUCCUUUCACCGGUGAAGAUAAUGACUGUAGCCGGAGAAGAAGCCCCGGCUAACUUCGUGCCAGCAGCCGCGGUAACAC